UACGUAGGUGGCAAGCGUUGUUCGGAUUCAUUGGUCGUAAAGGGUGCGUAGGCGGCGCGGUAAGUCGGGUGUGAAAUCUCGGAGCUUAACUCCGAAACUGCAUUCGAUACUGCCGUGCUUGAGGACUGGAGAGGAGACUGGAAUUUACGGUGUAGCGGUGAAAUGCGUAGAUAUCGUAAGGAAGACCAGUGGCGAAGGCGGGUCUCUGGACAGUUCCUGACGCUGAGGCACGAAGGUCAGGGGAGCAAACGGG
rnacentral:rRNA from 1 species